rnacentral:rRNA from 1 species
AUUAGGCCGAGGGCACGUCUGCCUGGGCGUCACAC